AAAAAAGAAGGGUUAUUUACCUUCUGCGAAAUUGUCCCCUGUAAAUUUCAGGAAAUCUAUUGCAUUGUUUUUGGGUGAACCUCUGUACUUUGCUUCUUUUGCACUCUUGUGAAUGAAGGUUCAGUUGAUGACCCCACAUUU